UACGUAGGGUGCAAGCGUUGUCCGGAAUUAUUGGGCGUAAAGAGCUCGUAGGCGGUCUGUCGCGUCGGCUGUGAAAACUCGGGGCUCAACCCCCGAGCCUGCAGUCGAUACGGGCAGACUAGAGUGCUGUAGGGGGAGACUGGAAUUCCUGGUGUAGCGGUGAAAUGCGCAGAUAUCAGGAAGAACACCCGUGGCGAAGGCGGCUCUCUGGGGACGGUACUGACGCUGAGACGCGAAAAGCGUGGGGGAGCGAAACAGG
rnacentral:rRNA from 1 species